GACGAACGCUGGCGGCGUGCUUAACACAUGCAAGUCGAGCGGUAAGGCCCCUUCGGGGUACGACGAGCGGCGAACGGGUGAGUAACACGUGGGUGACCUGCCCUCAGCUCUGGGAUAAGCCUGGGAAACUAGGGUCUAAUACCGGAUAUGACUCCAUGACGCAUGUCGUGGGGUGGAAAGCCUUGUGCGGCUGGGGAUGGGCCCGCGGCCUAUCAGCUUGUUGGUGGGGUGAUGGCCUACCAAGGCGACGACGGGUAGCCGGCCUGAGAGGGCGACCGGCCACACUGGGACUGAGACACGGCCCAGACUCCUACGGGAGGCAGCAGUGGGGAAUCUUGCGCGAUGGGCGAAAGCCUGACGCAGCGACGCCGCGUGAGGGAUGACGGCCUGUGU
rnacentral:rRNA from 1 species